GAAGCGUGAAGCGGCAGCUAUUGGCUCUCCUCCGCGGCUCCGUAAUGAGCCACCGUCAGAUCUGACAUUUUCUGCAGAUGAGCAGCAGAUGGGGGGAACGGCGUCGACGUCUCAGGCUUAACUUAUCUAACUUAGCUGGAGAUUUUUUCCCUUCAGUUUACAACCUGGAAUUGAAAUGGACUAAAUUGAGAUUUGAGGCUUUUGAGUUGAAAUCAAGACAAUGGAUUCCACAUUUGAUCAAUGUGGCACUGGUCCAUCCCCGCUCUCCUCACAGGUUGACAGUCCAGGAAUGGAGCAGAACAUGAGUGGUAACAGCAUGAUACGCCACUCAGCCAUGGACUCUCCGGCAAAACCGCCGUCAACAGAGGCCACAGGCCUUUAUAUUUAGCACGUGGAUGAGGAGACGAGGCAUGAGAAGCUUUACGCUGUAUCUUGCCGAAUGACAGAUGUGAGAACAAUGGUCACUUUGACGUCUACACAAAGACCAUCCCAGAACAAAUACCAGUAUAUGAUGAUGUAUGAAUCCCAGUUCUUCGUCUACUUUUAUUAUUUCUGCAAGAAUUUCCGAGCUAACCCCCUUCACUGGACAAAAUAUUAACUGCCAAGUAUCUCGAUCCUGAUAAUAUUUUGCACAUUCUUCGUUUUACUCUGCACGAAUGGAUGGAAAACCGUUUACAAGUUUCCAAAACAUUCUCAAGGGGAGAAUUUGAAGUACAAUUGGAGUUGUUGUCAUGGAGGUAGGUAAAUCAACCAUCUAUCUUGU